rnacentral:rRNA from 1 species
AUACGUAGGGGGCGAGCGUUGUCCGGAAUGAUUGGGCGUAAAGGGCGCGUAGGCGGCUUUGCAAGUCAGUAGUGGAAGUCCAUUUUUCAAGGAUGGAAGUGCUACAGAAACUGCGGAGCUUGAGUGCAGGAGAGGUUAUCGGAAUUCCCGGCGUAGCGGUGAAAUGCGUAGAGAUCGGGAGGAACACCAGUGGCGAAGGCGGGUAACUGGACUGCAACUGACGCUGAGGCGCGAAAGUGUGGGGAGCAAACAGGAUUAGAUACCCUGGUAGUCCACACUGUAAACGAUGAAUGCUAGGUGUAGGAGGUAUCGACCCCUUCUGUGCCGCAGUAAACACAGUAAGCAUUCCGCCUGGGGAGUACGGUCGCAAGAUUAAAACUUAAAGGAAUUGACGGGG